GACGAACGCUGGCGGCGCGCCUAACACAUGCAAGUCGAACGGAGCUGAGAGAAGCUUGCUUUUCUUAGCUUAGUGGCGAACGGGUGAGUAACGCGUGAGUAACCUGCCCUGGAGUGGGGGACAACAGUUGGAAACGACUGCUAAUACCGCAUAAGCCCACGAUCCGGCAUCGGAUUGAGGGAAAAGGAUUUAUUCGCUUCAGGAUGGACUCGCGUCCAAUUAGCUAGUUGGUGAGGUAACGGCCCACCAAGGCGACGAUUGGUAGCCGGACUGAGAGGUUGAACGGCCACAGUGGGACUGAGACACGGCCCAGACUCCUACGGGAGGCAGCAGUGGGGGAUAUUGCACAAUGGGGGAAACCCUGAUGCAGCGACGCCGCGUGGAGGAAGAAGGUUUUCGGAUUGUAAACUCCUGUCGUUAGGGACGAUAAUGACGGUACCUAACAAGAAAGCACCGGCUAACUACGUG
rnacentral:rRNA from 1 species